AUUGAACGCUGGCGGCAGGCCUAACACAUGCAAGUCGAGCGGAUGAAGGGAGCUUGCUCCUGGAUUCAGCGGCGGACGGGUGAGUAAUGCCUAGGAAUCUGCCUGGUAGUGGGGGAUAACGUCCGGAAACGGGCGCUAAUACCGCAUACGUCCUGAGGGAGAAAGUGGGGGAUCUUCGGACCUCACGCUAUCAGAUGAGCCUAGGUCGGAUUAGCUAGUUGGUGGGGUAAAGGCCUACCAAGGCGACGAUCCGUAACUGGUCUGAGAGGAUGAUCAGUCACACUGGAACUGAGACACGGUCCAGACUCCUACGGGAGGCAGCAGUGGGGAAUAUUGGACAAUGGGCGAAAGCCUGAUCCAGCCAUGCCGCGUGUGUGAAGAAGGUCUUCGGAUUGUAAAGCACUUUAAGUGGGGAGGAAGGGCAGUAAGUUAAUACCUUGCUGUUUUGACGUUACCAAAAGAAUAAGCACCGGCUAACUUCGUG
rnacentral:rRNA from 1 species